rnacentral:rRNA from 1 species
AUUGAACGCUGGCGGCAUGCCUUACACAUGCAAGUCGAACGGCAGCACGGGUGCUUGCACCUGGUGGCGAGUGGCGAACGGGUGAGUAAUACAUCGGAACAUGUCCUGUAGUGGGGGAUAGCCCGGCGAAAGCCGGAUUAAUACCGCAUACGAUCCACGGAUGAAAGCGGGGGCCCUUCGGGCCUCGCGCUAUAGGGUUGGCCGAUGGCUGAUUAGCUAGUUGGUGGGGUAAAGGCCUACCAAGGCGACGAUCAGUAGCUGGUCUGAGAGGACGACCAGCCACACUGGGACUGAGACACGGCCCAGACUCCUACGGGAGGCAGCAGUGGGGAAUUUUGGACAAUGGGCGAAAGCCUGAUCCAGCAAUGCCGCGUGUGUGAAGAAGGCCUUCGGGUUGUAAAGCACUUUUGUCCGGAAAGAAAUCCUUGGCUCUAAUACAGUCGGGGGAUGACGGUACCGGAAGAAUAAGCACCGGCUAACUACGUG